rnacentral:rRNA from 1 species
GGGGGGGCAAGCGUUGUUCGGAAUUACUGGGCGUAAAGGGCGCGCAGGCGGGCGGGAAAGUCUUUCGUGAAAUCCCACGGCUCAACCGUGGAACUGCGGGGGAUACUACUCGUCUUGAGUCCGGGAGAGGAGUGUGGAAUUCCCAGUGUAGCGGUGAAAUGCGUAGAUAUUGGGAGGAACACCGGUGGCGAAGGCGGCACUCUGGACCGGUACUGACGCUGAGGCGCGAAAGCUAGGGGAGCAAACGGGAUUAGAUACCCCGGUAGUCCUAGCUGUAAACGCUGAGCACUUGGUGUAGCGGGUAUCGACCCCCUGCUGUGCCGAAGCUAACGCAUUAAGUGCUCCGCCUGGGGAGUACGGUCGCAAGGCUG